GUCCACGCUGUAAACGAUGAGCGCUAGGUGUUGUGGGUGUUGACCCCCGCAGUGCCGCAGCUAACGCAUUAAGCGCUCCGCCUGGGAAGUACGGCCGCAAGGCUAAAACUCAAAGGAAUUGACGGGGGCCCCGCACAAGCGGUGGAGCAUGUGGUUUAAUUCGACGCAACGCGCAGAACCUUACCUGGUCUUGACAUCCUCGGAAUCCUUCAGAGAUGAGGGAGUGCCCGCAAGGGAGCCGAGAUACAGGUGCUGCAUGGCUGUCGU
rnacentral:rRNA from 1 species